rnacentral:rRNA from 1 species
AUUGAACGCUAGCGGGAUGCUUUACACAUGCAAGUCGAACGGAGUGGCGGACGGGUGAGUAAUAUAUCGGAACGUGCCCAGUAGCGGGGGAUAACUACUCGAAAGAGUGGCUAAUACCGCAUAAUAUUAGAGCGGCCGAUAUCGGAUUAGCUAGUUGGUGGGGUAAAGGCUACCCAAGGCAACGAUCCGUAGCUGGUUUGAGAGGACGACUGGCCAUACGGGGACUGGGACACGGCCCAGACUCCUACGGGAGGAAGCAGUGGGGAAUUUGGGACAAUGGGGGAAACCCUGAUCCAGCCAGCCCGCGUGUAUGAUGAAGGCCUUCGGGUUGUAAAGGACUUUUGGCAGAGAAGCGGUAUCUGCAGAAUAAGCACCGGCUAAAUACGUGCCAGCAGCCGCGGUAAGUCC